CAGAACGAACGCUGGCGGCGCGUCUUAAGCAUGCAAGUCGAACGGCAAGAGGUAGCAAUACCUCCUAGAGUGGCGGACUGGUGAGUAACACGUGGGUGACAUACCCUUCAGAUGGGGAUAGCUAUUAGAAAUAGUAGAUAAUACCGAAUACGAGCACAGGGGUUAGAGAUCUGUGAGGAAAGGAGCUAAGGCUCCGCUGAAGGAAUGGCCUGCGGCCCAUUAGCUAGUUGGUGAGGUAAGAGCCCACCAAGGCGAUGAUGGGUAUCCGGCCUUAGAGGGUGAACGGACACAUUGGGACUGAGAUACGGCCCAGACUCCUACGGGAGGCAGCAGCUAAGAAUAUUCCGCAAUGGACGAAAGUCUGACGGAGCGACGCCGCGUGGAUGACGAAGGCCGAAAGGUUGUAAAAUCCUUUUGCUGAUGAAGAAUAAGCGUGGUAGGGAAUGACCGCGUGAUGACAUUAGUCGGUGAAUAAGCCCCGGCUAACUACGUGCCAGCCGCUGC
rnacentral:rRNA from 1 species